AGUGUAUUGGGCUACCAUGGCAGUCACGGGUAACGGAGAAUUAGGGUUCGAUUCCGGAGAGGGAGCCUGAGAAACGGCUACCACAUCUAAGGAAGGCAGCAGGCGCGUAAAUUACCCAAUCCUGAUUCAGGGAGGUAGUGACAAGAAAUAACAACCCGGGGGACUCACGUCUUUACGGGAUUGCAAUGAGAACAAUUUAAAUCACUUAGCGAGGAUCAAUUGGAGGGCAAGUCUGGUGCCAGCAGCCGCGGUAAUUCCAGCUCCAAUAGUGUAUAUUAAAGUUGUUGCAGUUAAAAAGCUCGUAGUUGAACUUCUGGCAGUGUGCAGAUAUGGCUACGGUCAGUCUGUUCGCUGUCAUCCGUCUGCAAACCUCGUACGUCCUUGAGUGGUUCGGCGAGGGGAGUAGACAUUUUACUUUGAAAAAAUUAGAGUGUUUCAAGCAGGCUUUUGCCAGAAUACUUUAGCAUGGAAUAAUGGAAUAGGACUUCUGUCCAUUUGGUUGGUUAUUGGCCAGGAGUUAUGAUUAAUAGGGACAGUUGGGGGCAUUAGUAUUUAAUUGUCAGAGGUGAAAUUCAUGAUUUAUUAAAGACUAACUUAUGCGAAAGCAUUUGCCAAGGAUGUUUUCAUUAAUCAAGAACGAAAGUUAGGGGAUCAAAGACGAUCAGAUACCGUCCUAGUCUUAACUAUAAACGAUGUCGACUCGGGAUUGGAAGGGUUCCUUUUAUCCCUUCCAGCACCGUAUGAGAAAUCAUUAAGUCUUUGGAUUCUGGGGGGAGUAUGGUCGCAAGGCUGAAACUUAAAGGAAUUGACGGAAGAGCACCACCAGGCGUGGGACCUGCGGCUUAAUUUGACCCAACACGGGAAAACUUAUUUCAGCAAAACAUGAGUGGGAUUGACAGAUUGAGAGCUCUUUCUUGACUUUAUGGGGUGUGGUGCAUGGCCGUUCUUAGUUGGUGGAGUGAUUUGUCUGGUUAAUUCCGUUAACGAACGAGACCUUAACCUGCUAACUAGUCAGCCUGUGAUCAACAGGUGGCACUUCUUAGAGGGACUAUGGGUUAUAAGCCCAUGGAAGUUUGAGGCAAUAACAGGUCUGUGAUGCCCAUAGAUGUUGAAAGCGGCACGCGCGUCAUACUGUCCAGUAACAGCAAGUUUCAUCCUCUCCCGGAAGGGUAGGGGUAAUCUAUAAAACUGGACGUGGUAGGGAUAGAUCUUUGGAAUUAUAGAUCUUGAACGAAGAAUGCCUAGUAAGUGCAAGUCAUCAACUUGUGCUGAUUACGUCCCUGUCCUUUGUACACACCGCCCGUCGCUCCUACCGAUUUCGAGCGAUAUGGUGAACCUCCUGGACCGUGGGGCUCCUCGUGGGCUUCGUGGAAAGUUUAGUAAACCUUAUC
rnacentral:rRNA from 1 species